GAUGAAGAACGCAGCGAAAUGCGAUAAGUAAUGUGAAUUGCAGAAUUCAGUGAAUCAUCGAAUCUUUGAACGCACAUUGCGCCCGCCAGUAUUCUGGCGGGCCUGCCUGUUCGAGCGUCAUUACAACCCUCAGGCCCCCGGGCCUGGCGUUGGGGAUCGGCGGAAGCCCCCUGCGGGCACAACGCCGUCCCCCAAAUACAGUGGCGGUCCCGCCGCAGCUUCCAUUGCGUAGUAGCUAACACCUCGCAACUGGAGAGCGGCGCGGCCACGCCGUAAAACACCCAACUUCUGAAUGUUGACCUCGAAUCAGGUAGGAAUACCCGCUGAACUUAAGCAUAUCAAUAAGCGGAGGA
rnacentral:misc_RNA from 1 species